UUGUGAACCCCCUCCUCUCCCGACAGAUAUGUUCAAGCGCUAACCUCCCGUUCUUCAGAAGGGGGCCUAUUUGGAAUUAUGGCCUUUUCAGGAGUGAUGAGUUACUUUAAGAUGAGGUCACCCCGGAUUAGAGUGGGCCAAAUCCAACGAGUCGUGUCCCCAUGAGAAGAGGAGAGAGACUCAGGGAAGAAGGCCGCGUGAUGUGGGACUUUGAGGGAGAGAGGACCAUGUCGACAAACGGAAGGUCUCCCAAUUGUCCGGAGCCUCUCACACUCAGUAGCUCUGUGACCUUGGGUGCAGGACCUGGGGACGCCCGUGCCUCAGUUUCUCCAUCUCAAGUUAGACGGCUCCCAGCACAAAGUUCAGAUGCAUCGAAUAUUUGCCGAAGGAACAUAGAGGAGAAACUCCCCAAAGUGAGUCCUUAUUCCUCCUUUUUUGAGUGUUUGGAGAUUUCUUUGCACGAGCACGUGAAUUAUUUCAGCAACGGAACCUGAGAGAAAUCGGGGCUGCCUGCUUUCGUCCAGCCCCAUCACCGCAGAGAGCCCUUUGACAAAGGAAAGAUACAGCUUUCUUUCGCUCCCCUCCCUCCCUGACCACCGAUGAAUGAAGCUAGUUGACUCGUGGCUCCAGAAGGCACCAACUGGGUACGCUUAUUUGAAAGAGCCACUGGAUAUUAUUUUAACGGCCGUAUUAACGUGACGCUCCCAUUGUAGAUUUUCUGAUUCCUUAUGCCUGAGAAAGUGCUUUUAGCCUUGGCUCCACGGCAGCGAUAUUGGAAUGAACGCAUCUCCAGCAGUACCCGGGUCCCCGUGAAUAUAAGAUGCUUUAUCUCUGGAGACCAUCGGGGCAAGCCGUGCUUUAAAUAAAUAAAAUGAGUGCUCUCGUCGUACGGGAUGCC